GGCCACAGCCAUAUCACCCUGCAGCCAAAGACCGGUUACUCACUGAAGCUAAGCAGGGCUGAGCCUGUUCAGUACCUGGAUGGGAGACCACAUGGGAAAACUAGGUUGCUGUUGGAA
rnacentral:rRNA from 1 species